UAUUAUGGAAUUUUAUUUUUAGAUUGAAAGGAAAAUCGGCGCGUACUUCUGUGAUUGAUCUGCGAAAUCCAAUUUUUAAUUAGGUUGCUAGUUUCAAGCGGAACAUAUUCAUAUUCCACGAAGAUUGUUCGCGAAUUCUAAACGAUAUAGCAUUUGGAGAAUGUAUAAAGGUCAUUCGCCAAUUUUAAACGAUACAGCAUUUGGAAAUUGUAUAAAGGUCAUUCGUAAAUUUUAAACGAUACCGCAUUUGGAGAUUGUAUGAAGGCAUUUAUAAUUUCUUUUAUAUUAUCUCGCGUUUUGAAUUAUAUUUCAAAUAAAAUUAUGUCAUUGUAAUCACCAAAAUCUAC